rnacentral:tRNA from 1 species
GCAGUGAUAGCUCCAAUUGGUAGAGCGCUUGAUUGAAGAUCAGGAGAGUGCUGGUUCGAGUCCAGCUCACUGUACCA